rnacentral:rRNA from 1 species
UACGGAGGGGGCUAGCGUUGUCCGAAGUUACUGGGCGUAAAGCGCGCGUAGGCGGGUUGGUAAGUCCGCUGUGAAAGCCCGGAGCUCAACUCCGGAGGGUCGGUGGAUACUGCCAGUCUUGAAGGUGCUAGGGGGAGAUGGAAUUACCGGUGUAGCGGUGAAAUGCGUAGAUAUCGGUAGGAACACCAGUGGCGAAGGCGGUCUCCUGGGGCAUACUUGACGCUGAGGCGCGAAAGCUGGGGGAGCGAACGGG